rnacentral:rRNA from 1 species
UCGCAUGGGCGAAGCCUGACGGAGCACGCCGCGUGAGUGAUGAAGGUCUUCGGAUCGUAAAACUCUGUUAUUAGGGAAGAACAAAUGUGUAAGUAACUAUGCACGUCUUGACGGUACCUAAUCAGAAAGCCACGGCUAACUACGUGCCAGCAGCCGCGGUAAUACGUAGGUGGCAAGCGUUAUCCGGAAUUAUUGGGCGUAAAGCGCGCGUAGGCGGUUUCUUAAGUCUGAUGUGAAAGCCCACGGCUCAACCGUGGAGGGUCAUUGGAAACUGGGAAACUUGAGUGCAGAAGAGGAAAGUGGAAUUCCAUGUGUAGCGGUGAAAUGCGCAGAGAUAUGGAGGAACACCAGUGGCGAAGGCGACUUUCUGGUCUGUAACUGACGCUGAUGUGCGAAAGCGUGGGGAUCAAACAGGAUUAGAUACCCUGGUAGUCCACGCCGUAAACGAUGAGUGCUAAGUGUUAGGGGGUUUCCGCCCCUUAGUGCUGCAGCUAACGCAUUAAGCACUCCGCCUGGGGAGUACGACCGCAAGGUUGAAACUCAAUGAAAUUGACGGA